rnacentral:rRNA from 1 species
GAUGAACGCUGGCGGCGUGCCUAAUACAUGCAAGUCGAACGCUGGAAAUCUAGCUUGCUAGAUUGAAGGAGUGGCGAACGGGUGAGUAAUACAUAAGCAACCUACCCACGAAGACUGGGAUAAUCUCUGGAAACGGGGACUAAUACCGGAUAGGUAAUCGGAAGGCAUCUUCUGAUUAUUAAAGGUUAAAAACACUGGUGGAUGGGCUUAUGGCGCAUUAGUUAGUUGGUGAGGUAACGGCCCACCAAGACGAUGAUGCGUAGCCGGCCUGAGAGGGUGAACGGCCACAUUGGGACUGAGACACGGCCCAGACUCCUACGGGAGGCAGCAGUAGGGAAUUUUCGGCAAUGGGGGAAAACCUGACCGAGCAACGCCGCGUGAGUGAUGACGGCCUUCGGGUUGUAAAGCUCUGUUGUAAGGGAAGAACGGUAGAUAGAGAAUAUCUAAAUGACGGUACCUUACCAGAAAGCCACGGCUAACUACGUG